rnacentral:rRNA from 1 species
UGCAGUCUACCCAUCAAUGAGCCCUCACCAAUCUUGUCUAAUGUAGGAAACUAGGCAAAGUUGGACCUGGUUAGUACUUGAAUGAGUGAUUUCCUGGGAAUACUUGGCAAAGCUGUGA